rnacentral:rRNA from 1 species
GAGAUGGAUUGGUGGCCUUCGGGAACUCUGACACAGGUGCUGCAUGGCUGUCGUCAGCUCGUGUCGUGAGAUGUUGGGUUAAGUCCGUAACGAGCGCAACCCUUGUCCUUAGUUACCAGCACGUUAUGGUGGGCACUCUAAGGAGACUGCCGGUGACAAACCGGAGGAAGGUGGGGGAUGACGUCAAGUCAUCAUGGCCCUUACGGCCUGGGCUACACACGUGCUACAAUGGUCGGUACAAAGGGUUGCCAAGCCGCGAGGUGGAGCUAAUCCCAUAAAACCGAUCGUAGUCCGGAUCGCAGUCUGCAACUCGACUGCGUGAAGUCGGAAUCGCUAGUAAUCGUGAAUCAGAAUGUCACGGUGAAUACGUUCCCGGGCCUU